CUUCACCUUCCUCUCUGGCCGCUGCAGCUCAUGCGACCUUGGUGGGAUUCCUGAGGCUGGAUCUGGGAGCCUCAGAGCUAGUGGGCUGCUAUGUCCCUGUCGCCUCUUGUCAGGACGUGGGUCUGGGCUCCUCCUCGGAACUGGCAGAGCACCUCUCCCCCGGGCUCCACGCACUUACCUCACAGACAUCAGGCCACCAGACACAUGAGGCCGCUGCACCUGUCGACAAUAGAAUUUGGGCCACAGCUGUUGUCACUGUCCGGUACUGAGCCGCGCUGAGGAUGAAGGCAGUGUGAACUGAACUUAGAUCAAGCUCCGGUGGAGUGUACUGAUGAUGAGCCUGAUGCUGGUUUUCAUGGAAAGCCUUGUAGGCGAUAUCUACGGCUCUAGUUUUGUGAGUUAUCCUUUCAGAAUGCUCAGGUAACAGUGCCAGGAAGAGGUCCAGAUCCCAGCACCUCUUAGCAAGUUUCUGUCAUGGACCGUGCAUAUGUGGGGAUGGACCCAACCUCCAUUUCUGGAGGACUGUAGGGCAAGGAGAGGAUGAAAUAACAUAUUCAGAAUAGAGAUAAAAUAUACGAGUCACAAAUAUCCUAACCUGCAGGAUUGUCCUACGGAGAGGAGAGAGUAAUAAUGUUCUUCCCAGACAAACAAAAGCUGAAGAAGUGGUCCUCUAACACUAGAUCUUCCCUGAAAGAAAUGUUAAAAAAAGAUCUCCUGUAUAAUUUAAAGAGAAGAAAAUGCAGGAAAAAAAAAAAAAGAACGAAAGAAAAAAGAAAAAGCUGAGCAGGGAAAUAGAACCAGAAAACUAAAGUCAAAGUGGCAGUAGAAGAUCCUCUAUUGAACUCACCCAUCCAAAGGCAGAGAGAGGCCAGCCUCGGUUCAGGAAACAAAACCCAAGUUUAUGUAGUCCCCGGGAGACCCGUCUGAGCCCCAAAGAUAAACACAGGCUCCCGGCUCACGGCUGAAUAUUACACCAAACCACAGAACAGACUCAGGGAUGUCAGAGUCUGGGCUACGGUGUAUUGUGCCGCACCAUGAUUUGCAAAGAGAAACCUUCUAUGUGGAGCCGAGACCCUUCAUUUUUCUCAUAAUGUAUUUUGAAUAGCAGCUGCUUUUUAAUAUUUGCAAUAGGAUCCAUUUCAGGAUCUGCAGAUGGAUCUAGCGCUGCAGAGUCUGCGUAUGGCUUCACAGUGCGGUGCUUAACCCCUGCGCCACCAGGGAGGCCCCAAGCCUUGCUUUUAUGUCAGCUUCAGGGUCUCGCUGCGGUGGAUGCUGUCAGUGAAAGGCUGAGAGUCCUGGAGCCUGCCACAGACCCACCCGUGCCUCCUGCCCCAGCCCGCCUACCACAGCCCACUGUGACCUGCUUAUUAGCUGGAAUUAUGUUGGGACAAGGCCUGGGGGUGGACUAAAGGUUUCAGGGAGUGACUGAUGGACUUUCUCUGGCCAGGGGCCUGACUGUGCGUCCCAGAUGACCAGGUGAGCUCUUGGAAGUCUCCUGCUUCUCUGCCCCCCUGCUUGCUUUAAGGUGCAUAUAUGCCUUUGCUGGGGUGAUGGGUGCUCUGUCGCCCAAUGGCUCAGGGCUCGGACUUUGGAAAAAAGAUCACCUCUGGGCCUGCGGGAUAAAUAAAGACGAAAUUCUUCCAUAACUUCUUACAAUCUAAAAAUCAAAAGGGAGAGGGUCCUAACACUACAGGCAAAUAAAAUGAGGUGUUUGUUAAGAAUUGCAUUUAAAACAAGGGCCUCCCCUGGUGGCACAGGUGGUUGAGCGCAGUGCUGUGAAGCUGACUACAGCCUCUGUAGCGCAGGUUCGAUCCCUGCUGGCCAGAGAGGGUCCCACAUGGCACGGCAGACCUCUCCUGUCAUGCCCACUGCUCCCCUCAGCAGUGUAUUUCAGUAGAUCUGCCUGUUCUGUUCCCCACUCUGUCUCUGGUGAAUCUUCUCACCCCCUGCAUCUCUGGCCUGUACCCCAGUUCUUGUGUGCAUAAAUAAAUAAAUAAAUCUUCUUAAAAAAUAUUAUUUAUGCAUACAAGAACUGGGGUGUAAGCCAAAGAUGGGGGGAUGAGAGGAUUCAUCAGAGACAGAGUGGGGGACAGAACAGGCAGACUGACUGAAACACAUUGCUGAGGGGAGCAGCAGGGAGACAGGAGAGGUCUGCUGCACCAUGUGGGUCAGCUCCCUAGAUAGGGAUCGAACACAUGCUACAUUUGCUGGUGAUAGCUUAUAGUGCAGCGUUUUAACCCCUUGCACCCCCAGGGAGGCCCUUCUGUUCUAUUAUUUUCUUUUUUGUAAAGGCAAUGAACUAGUCACAAGGAGGAGCUUUCAGUUAUGUAAAAUUUUGUUUUAUGAAAUAUCAUUAUUUUGUCCUGCUCCUCUCGUAGGUGUAGACAACUUUCUUGUAUUUGGAAGCUGGAAGGGCUCAGAUUUUGAAGUACGGUCUUGUUUUCACUGCUUUAUUUUUAAUUAAAGCUAUAUACAGCUGUGCAUUCAACAGAAUAAAUUUCUAAAUUUAAAAAUGAAGAAAAAGGGCAAAAGAUGUUUAUUUGGGUUUAAAAGCUAGCCGGAGCACAGGUUCAGGCUAAAAACCCAAACCCCCUCUCUAAAAAAAAAAAAUGAGGUGACCUUGACAUUAACUCCCAACGCUACUGCUCGCAUGCAUGACUAGCAGGAGGCCAUGUUUCAUCCUCAAAUGUUUUUCUGUAACCACAUGGAAUUUAAAAGUAAUUUAAAAAUUACUUUUCCCCUGCCAAGGAGCAAGGAGGUAAUUUUACCAAUGGAGUUUUCAUCAGCUUCUAUUACUGGUCCUGAUAAUGAUAGGGGGUUGUGUAUAUUAUAGAAGAGUAGAAUAAAAUAGGAUGAACAAUAUUAAAAAGUACUUUUGUGACUUAGCAUGUUUCCUUCCUAGUUUUUUCCCCAUAUUUGCAAUUGUGAAAUAGAUUGCCUGUGUAGAAGGUAGGUAGUAGCUUGAGAAUUAUAAAAUGAGCUUUAAAUAGGUCAAGAAAUGUAAAGUCACAUCAUAUCUUGAUCUUCGUCCAUAAGGAAGCCCCUAUAUGGCUGUCACUAAUUUUUUUCUUUGCUCUUCACUGCAUAUCCUAGGUAUAUAUCCACUGAAUGUACCAUUAAAAUGUGAUUUUAAUUUUGUCUGGUAUUUAAUAUUUAAAUAAAUUAAAUCAUGUUCUGUUUCUGUCUUGAAUGUCACUCAACACUAUGAAGGCAAGGCUAGUCCACAUUUUGGAUGCAGCUUGAGGGUUUUAUUUGCACUGCUGUAUAAUAUUCCACUCGGUGUACAGUUGUUGUUUACAUUGUGUUUUACUCACACAUAAGGGUUAAGGAGAGUAUGCUUACAUCAUCGCUAAAAAUUUAUAUUCUUCUUCAUCAUUUAACACUGCACUGUAAGUACUCUCCACAGCAUUAAAAACUAUUCAGCGUUACUCUAUUUGUCCAGUCUUUACAUUUAAUUUUGUAUAUAUUGGGGGUUUUUAU